AAGUCGAGCGAGAUGUUAGCGCAUGAACCUUCGGGGGAUUAUGCUAACGGAAAGCGGCGGACGGGUGAGUAACGCGUAGGCAACCUGCCCCUGACAGAGGGAUAGCCAUUGGAAACGAUGAUUAAAACCUCAUGACACCGUAGAAGCACAUGCUUCAUCGGUCAAAGAUUUAUCGGUCAGGGAUGGGCCUGCGUCUGAUUAACUAGUUGGUGAGGUAACGGCUCACCAAGGUGACGAUCAGUAGCCGACCUGAGAGGGUGAUCGGCCACAUUGGAACUGAGACACGGUCCAAACUUCUACGGAAGGCAGCAGUAGGGAAUCUUGCACAAUGGGCGAAAGCCUGAUGCAGCAACGCCGCGUGAAGGAUGAAGGCCUUCGGGUUGUAAACUUCUGUUCUAAGGGAAGAAACAAAUGACGGUACCUUAGGAGCAAGCCCCGGCUAACUACGUGCCAGCAGCCGCGGUAAUACGUAGGGGGCAAGCGUUAUCCGGAAUUAUUGGGCGUAAAGAGUGCGUAGGUGGUUACCUAAGCGCAAGGUUUAAUUUAGAGGCUCAACCUCUACUUGCCUUGCGAACUGGGCUACUUGAGUGCAGGAGGGGAAAGCGGAAUUCCUAGUGUAGCGGUGAAAUGCGUAGAUAUUAGGAGG
rnacentral:rRNA from 1 species